UACGGUCAUAUCACGUUGAAACAUAGGUUCUCGUAAGAUCACCCAAGUUAAGCAACGUCGAGCCUGCUUAGUUCCCUAGAUGGGUGACCGCUUGGGAAUAUCGGGUGCUAUA